AGGAGUAUCAAUCCUUGGUUUGUGUGUGUUUUAGAUGGUACUGAAACACUAAGCUGUUGUAUGUGAAAAAGGAUCUUAUGUGUAGGGACCGUGGAUUGUAGUUGCCGAUGGGAAUCAACGGUCUCCCUUUCGAAUAUUUGGUAGAAUGAAAUAGAUUAUUUAAAAUCGAAAAUCUAAAAGAAAAUAAAAAUUAAGAUAAGAAGACUUAUAAAGUUGAGUUAAG